rnacentral:rRNA from 1 species
UCCAGACUCCUACGGGAGGCAGCAGUGGGGAAUAUUGCACAAUGGGGGAAACCCUGAUGCAGCAACGCCGCGUGAGUGAAGAAGUAUUUCGGUAUGUAAAGCUCUCUCAGCAGGGAAGAAAAUGACGGUACCUGAGUAAGAAGCCCCGGCUAACUACGUGCCAGCAGCCGCGGUAAUACGUAGGGGGCAAGCGUUAUCCGGAUUUACUGGGUGUAAAGGGAGCGUAGACGGCGAUACAAGUCUGAAGUGAAAGCCCGGGGCUCAACCCCGGGACUGCUUUGGAAACUGGCGCGCUGGAGUGCCGGAGGGGUAGGCGGAAUUCCUAGUGUAGCGGUGAAAUGCGUAGAUAUUAGGAGGAACACCAGUGGCGAAGGCGGCCUACUGGACGGUGACUGACGCUGAGGCUCGAAAGCGUGGGGAGCAAACAGGAUUAGAUACCCGUGUA